UGGUUGCUCUUCCAAACUGAAAAUUAGUUGUGAUUUCCUGCUAGCAAAACCAGGGGAUGAUAGAAGACCACCCCACCCCCUCCUGCCACUUGCCAGUGGUGAGAAAACACAUGGUCAUGCAGCAGGUUACAUCUGUUUAACAGGUUUGAAAGAAAGAGCAAAAGAGACUCCUGUACAUGAGCUAAAAAUGGGGGCUUCAGCCAGUUACACUAUGUCUAUAUUGUCUCUGGAGCUGGAGGAAUGACAAAAGAGAAAAUCCUACACUUGAAAGGUGCCAUGGUGAGGUCACGUACACAGAUGGAAGGUCCAUGCCGAUAUUCGAACAGGAUGUUUUGGCUCAGAAACAAGACGAUUAAGAUGAGAAUGGGUGUGUUAUACCAAUAUACAGCAGCUUCAUCCGCUUUCACUAGCUUCUCUACUAUCAAUUCUCCUCCCUCCAGAAGCGUUUGCAGAGAGAGAGCGAGCAAAUGCAACCACCAGGGAAAGGAACAAGUGAGUGGGCUUGUUGCUGGAGAUCGGCCAGUACUGCAGAGAGGUGGCUACUCACAGCCUGCUGCCAGGAGCAGCUCCAGGGGAAAGCAUUAUCGCAGCUCUCUAGGUGGUUCUUCGUAAGCAGCAACCCUGUUCCAGAAGCUUUGUUGAAUACUCAACUCACUGCAGUCCCUCCAACCCAAUAUUCAGAAGCCCCCUUACAAUCAGACUCGUUGGACUGUCAAGGUCCCUUUGUACAGCCCCCAGUUAAGUCUCCCUUCUCCCUCAAGCCUGCAGUUGGAGAAGAGAAUUAACAUGAGUAUUGUGCUGGUCCCACACGCAAAGAAUCUUAGCCUAGGAUCUCCAAAAGUCAGUUCCUUGGUACUGCUCCCACACAAGUCAAUGUCUUCUCAACUUCCAUCCUCCCUAAGUCAGCUUGUUUCAUGCCAUGAAGUAGAGGCUGGGACUAGACAAUAAA